AGAAAAAAAUGAUUGCGAUCCAAAACCUGGAAAGGGAAUUUCAGGAACAAACUGUUAUGAAUCAGCACCUGGAAAGGGAAUUUCAGGAACAAACUAUUAGGACCCGAAACCUGGAAAGGGAAUGUCAGAAAUCCUCUGCUCCUGUUGGGGAUCCCGCUCCCGACAUGCAAGCUUGUUAUGAAGAGGAAGAUGUUCGUCUGUUCAUUUAAUAACAAUAUGUCUUCACACAGAGUUCAUUUUACUUUUGAAAGACUUUUGUUU